CAAUAGCGUAUAUUUAAGUUGUUGCAGUUAAAAAGCUCGUAGUUGGAUUUCGGGUGGGACGCAGCGGUCUCGCAUUGCGUUUGUACUGCUGCAGCCCUCCUUCUUGCCGGGGGCGGCCUCUCGGACUUCACUGUCUGGGGGUUAGAAUCGGCGAUGUUACUUUGAGUAAAUUAGAGUGUUCAAAGCAAGCUUACGCUCUGAAUAUAAUAGCAUGGGAUAACACGACAGGACUCUGGCCUAUCGUGUUGGUCUAUAGGACCAGAGUAAUGAUUAAGAGGGACAGUCGGGGGCAUUCGUAUUCCGUUGUCAGAGGUGAAAUUCUUGGAUUUACGGAAGACGAACAUCUGCGAAAGCAUUUGCCAAGGAUGUUUUCAUUGA
rnacentral:rRNA from 1 species